GGGGUUGUGGCUCAGUGGUAGAGUGCCUGCCUAGCAAGCAUGAGGCACUGGGUUCCAUCCCCA
rfam:Ictidomys tridecemlineatus contig078076, whole genome shotgun sequence.